rnacentral:lncRNA from 1 species
UUGAUUUUUCCUGUGAAAAAUUGUUUUAAGCCUUUUAUCUCUACUAAGGUGAAUUUUAGUACAUUGCAUUUUUCAAGGAUGCUAUCCAAUUAUUUAAUUUUUCAAAUAUAUUUGUAUAGAGUCAAACAAAAUAGUCUGUAAGAAUCUUUUAAAAUUUACUUUGUUUCAAGGUUAUUUCCCCCAUAACAUUUUUAAAUUCAUAUAUCUGUGCUUUCUCCUUUUUUUUCUGAGUUAGAUUAGGUGGUAGUUUAUCUAGUUUAUUAAUUUUUCCUCAAGAACAAGCAUUUUGAUUGAUUUAUCAAUUUUGUUAUAUUUUUGCUUGCUGUUUUAUUAAUUUCUACUUCUAUAUUUUAAAAAAUUUUUCUUCUGCUUCCCCCAUCCCCUACCUACUUUUCUGAGUUGGGAAUUUAAUUCAUUUAUUUUUAUUUAUCUAAGUAUCAUAAGUAUGUAGAGCUAUGUAUUUUCCUAUAGUCACUGUUUUAAUUGUAUCUCAUAAAUGUCUUAGGAAGAGUUCAUGAAUAUUUUCUGAGUUUCCAUCUGUAUCAAACUGUUUCCCUAUAGGCUUGGUACUUUAAAAACAGUCUGCCUACAUAUAACACUCUGGGCUCAUAUUUUCCUUUUUUGAGUUUCUUAAAACUGUUCUUGCACAGUUUUCUUGCUUUGUAUGCUGUUUUAUGAUCUUAUUUCCUUUGUAAGUGAUUUGGCCUUUUUUGCUUGGAUGCCCAGAAGAUUGCUUGUAUAUAUUUAAUGUCUAAUAGGCCUAUUAUACUGUGUCUUAGAUGUAUGUCUAUAUAUUACAAUUGACCAUUCUGGGUUAGUCUUCUUAGGUACACAAAUAUAUCCAAGUUUUCUUUUAUUUAUACAAAGUUUUAUUGGAUUGUGGUUUAAUAUGUGAUUAAAUAUGUGAUUUCUCUCAUUUCAUUGUUUUUGUUUUUCUUGCCAGAAACCCAAAUGAUAAUGCCCAGUCUUCUUUCUCUCUGAUGGUUUUCACCUUAUUUAUUUUGUUUUCAUUUUCUUGGAAUUUUUCAUAUAUUUUUAAACUUCUGCUUUGAGAGAAAUCAAUUUUCUCUUGAGUACUUUGAAAUUAUUCUUCCUACAUAAGAUGUUUUUGCCUUUUUCUUUAAUUUCCCUCCUGGGGACUAUCUUUUUUUCGUAUAUUACUUUAUUUAAUUCUGCUUUUCUGAUUUAACAUUUUUUCUUUUUGCAAAAUAUUUGUUUAAAAUAUUUAAUUCAAGAUGGGGUGUUAUGUUACAGAUUGUUUUCAGAGCCUCCAGUUAAAUUGGGGUUCCAGCACCUGUGUGGAUAGCUAAGGGGAAAUGAAGGGGAGCUGGAUAUGGUUGUUUACAAGGUGUCUUUCACGGGACACAUCUUUUACCUGGCAGACAGCCUAGUGUCUAGUUGUCUAACCUGUGACCAGGAAGAUUUCUCACACAGGAAACUUGUUUAUACUGGCAGAUGCCCUUUUGGCUCUUGUCUGACCUGUGUUCAGUUUAUGCCUGCCUGACCAUUGCUCUGGUUCUGGGAGCUCAACUUUGUGCUUCCCCGUCCCAUGUCAGGGAAAGAUAGGCCUGGCGUAGCCCCUGAUUCUUCAGAUGGAAGGUGGGAAUUCAAUACUCCAGCACAAAAGGAAACAAUUAAAAGAUUGUACUUACAAAUCUUGGGCAAGGAAGGUGGGAUGGCAGUCCUCUGUCCUAGGGUCAUGUGAGGCAGAAAUGAAGGAGUCAGGCAGAGAGACAGGGCAUGUGGCAAAUAGUUGUAUGUAUAAGGGAAUACAGUGUGGGUUAUUUUAAGUUCUUAGGCAAAUAUCUGACAGAUUCACUUAAAAGGAAACAGCGGAAGAGUGGGUAGUCCUAUUGAGAGACAGGACUAGCUGGAUUUCCUAAGUCGACUAAGAAUUCCUAAGCCCAGCUGGGGAAGGUUACCACACCCACCUUUAAACGCGGGGCUUGUAACUCAGCUCACACCGGACCCAUCAGGUAGUAAAUAGUGCUCACUAAAAUACCAAUUAGGGUAAAAGCAGGAGGUAAAGAAAUAGUCAAAUCAUCUACUGCCUGAGAGCACCGGGGAGAGACAAUGAUCGGAAAAUAAAUCCAGGCCUUUGUGCCAGCAGGGGCAACCCCCUCUGGGUCCCCUCCCAUUGUAUGUGAGCUCUGUUUUCAUUCUAUUAAAUCUUGCAACUGCACAUUCUUCUGGUCCGUGUUUCUGCCGGCUCAAACUGAGCUUUCGCUCUCCAUCCACCAUGGCUGAACGCCACAGUCGCAGACCUGCCGUUGACUUUCAUCCCUCUGGAUUUGGCAGGGUGUCCACUGAGCUUCUGAUUCAGCGAGGUGCUCAUUGCUGCUCCCAAUCAGGCUAGAGGCUCGCCAUUGUUCCUGCACCGGGAAGUGCCCGGGUUCAUCCUAAUUAGGCUGAACACUAGUCUCUGGGUUCCAUGGUUCUCUUCCGUGACCCACAGCUUCUAAUAGAGCUAUAACACUUACCGCAUGGCCCAAGGUUCCAUUCCUUGGAAUCCCUGAGGCCAAGAACCCCACGUCAGAGAACAAAAGGCUUGCUGCCAUCUUGGGAGCAGCCGGCCCCAUCUUGGGAGUGGCCCACCACCAUCUUGGGAGCUCUAAGAACAAAGACCUGCUGGUAACACUAUCUCUGGCCACCUAUCUCUGGCCUAUCUAUCUCUGGUUCCUAUCUCUGGCCAUGGCUUGAGCCAUUUGGGUGCAGUGAACAGGAAACUGUAAAGAGUGACAGCCCUGCUUCUACAAAAUGGAUGCCAAGUUGUUCCUGCGCGCUCACUCUCUCUCCUGCCACCUUGUGAUGAAGAUGCCUGCUUCCUCUUCUGUCAUGAUUGUUACACCUCCUCCCUCCUUAAAUAGCACUUAGUGUAAUUGAUGCCAAGUUAAUCCCUGUGCUGCCAAGAGAAGUGUCCAUGGGGUAGGAACCGCAUGCUGUUUUACCUGUGCUUAAAGAGGAAAGUGUCACGCGUCUCUGAAGAAACAAUGUUGACUGAAAAAUAGCGCCAAGUCUCAAACAAGAUCUUUGUGAAAAAUAAAGCAUGAAGCACAAAAUGAGAGAGUAAGUCUUAUUAUCUAAGAAUUAAAAUGAUGAUUAAGGUGAUUAUCUUUUUCUUCUUUAUUUUUAAAUAGUUUGCAAAAUUAUAACAAUAGGUAUGCAUUAUUUUAUAAUUAUUGACAACAUGGUGUUUUGUAAAACAAAGUGUAUUAUAUGAAGAAUAUUCUCAAUUUUAUUUGGAGCUAUAAAAAACUAUAAGACUAUGCAGAAGCACAAUAAAAUGCUAACAGUGAGUAUCUCUGAAUAGUGGGAUUAUUGCUAAAUUUUAUCCCACUCUCCUUUGCUUUUUAUUAUUGUCUAAAUUUCGUGCAGUGAGUAUAUGCUACCUUUGUAAUUUAAAAAUAAAGUUGGUUAAUUUUCU